AUGCCCAAAUCAGGAUAUCCAGAGAGGUCGGCCCUUGUCCAGGGUGAAGAUCAGCACCAUGACGGUGAAAGACAACCUCCUGGCGGCUGGUGGUUUCCAUGGGGAGCUGAUCUGCAAUGCAUCCCACCGCCGAUCCAUAUCCAGAUCAGCUGCAUCGUCGGUUCCGCACACAGGCCAAGGGAAAUGACUACCGUUCCAGGGUCUCCGGUCUGGGAGCUCAUGAAGAAGAACAACUACUUCUUGAUCAAGCAGUUCGGCAACAGCAACACCAAGGUGCAGUUCAGCAAGGAGCCCAACAACCUCUACAAUAUCCAGUCCUACAAGUUCUCGGGCUUGGCGAACAGCAAGACCGUGGCGGUCUAG
rnacentral:rRNA from 1 species